CAAUGUAUGUCAGUAGGCUGACGAUGAUAAUAUGGUGGUGAACUACGAUAAAAAUUAACGGGUAAAUGCUGCGGCAGCGACAUACCGCUGCUUUUUUGUCUUCAUGACACAAGGUGGGCCGCGAAUUUUAAACUUUCUUGUAGAUGGGCCGCGGUCCCGACAAGUUUGGGAAACACUGAUGUAG